rnacentral:tRNA from 1 species
AUAGCAAAGCACCUCCCUUACACCGAGAAGACAUCCGUGCAAAUCGGGUCACCCUGAGCUGACUAGCUAG